ensembl:misc_RNA 7SK 7SK RNA
GGAUGAGGGUGAUCUGGCUAUGCACUGAUGGCCAGUUGAUUUUGCUGACCCGGCUGACCCAGCAGGAGUCCCCUUCCUCACCUCCUCAUGGGUCCCAGAGGAAGCUGUGCUCUCAGGAGGAAAAGAUGACCGUCCCAGGUAAGAGGCUUACUGCUCUUCAGUCAAGGGUACACAGUAACUGCACACCCCUGAUAGACUCUUCCAACAAGAGACGAACAGUUACUUCUUACAGAAGACAGAGUAACAAAAGCUUUAACUGCUCAGUGCAAUCUACUUUCUAUACUGUUGCUG